UACGAAGGGGGCUAGCGUUGCUCGGAAUCACUGGGCGUAAAGCGCACGUAGGCGGCUUUCUAAGUCAGGGGUGAAAUCCUGGAGCUCAACUCCAGAACUGCCUUUGAUACUGGAGAGCUUGAGUCCGGGAGAGGUGAGUGGAACUCCGAGUGUAGAGGUGAAAUUCGUAGAUAUUCGGAAGAACACCAGUGGCGAAGGCGGCUCACUGGCCCGGUACUGACGCUGAAAUACGAAAGCGUGGGGAGCAAACAGG
rnacentral:rRNA from 1 species